CAGCAGCCACGGUAAUACGUAGGUGGCAAGCGUUGUCCGGAAUUAUUGGGCGUAAAGGGCUCGCAGGCGGUUUCUUAAGUCUGAUGUGAAAGCCCCCGGCUCAACCGGGGAGGGUCAUUGGAAACUGGGAAACUUGAGUGCAGAAGAGGAGAGUGGAAUUCCACGUGUAGCGGUGAAAUGCGUAGAGAUGUGGAGGAACACCAGUGGCGAAGGCGACUCUCUGGUCUGUAACUGACGCUGAGGAGCGAAAGCGUGGGGAGCGAACAGGAUUAGAUACCCCGGUAGUCCCUGUCUCUUAUCA
rnacentral:rRNA from 1 species